rnacentral:misc_RNA from 1 species
GGUGGACCACCAUCAGACCCCCCAAUCAUUUCAGAUAACUUCUUCUUUCUAACAUCAUCUAAUUUCUCCAACGACUUCUCCAGAGGUCUCAUGCCAACCGACUUGGCCACAGCUGCCAAGGCUGAAAAAGCAGCAUCUCUAACAUCUGGAGUUCCAUCAUUCAGGCUCUCCAUGCAAAUGGGAACAUAUUCCUUAUGUGCUUUUAAAAUAACAGCUUUGCUGCUUGUCUCAAUGCAAAAUGUCACCCAAUUUAAAGUCAGAGAUCGAACUAGAGGUACUUUAUUUUUCGUGGCAGUCUUGACAUCUUCAACAAUAUCAGCAAGAUUUAAGCACCCGGAUUUGUGCAUCGCCUGGAGUGUUUGAGUAAGUGCAUCUGUAAGGGUUGGUUUUUUCUCUUUCAGUUUUUCCAAUAAUAUCGGCAACAAGAAGCGGGAGCUUCCUGAAAAAUGUGUUCUCAAUCCCCUCGCAAGAUUUCCGAUAGCCUGGAUGGCUUCAACUGCCACGGCAAUAUUUACAUCUGUGAUGAGCUUCUUAAGUGUCCUGCAUAUUUCUGCAAAAUCACCAGGUGCGAUUUUCUUUGUAGAUGCAAGUUUUGUUAGCUCUGCAACAGCCUCUUUACGCUCUGACCACUUCGUUGCUUUCACUCCUUCCCAAAAACCGGUCUUCUCCAGAGGGGUCAAAAUGUCAACAGGAUCCACAAGGUCAUACUCAUCUAUCUCCUGUGGAAUGUCUGCAGCGGAUUCGUCAGAAGGGCCAGAGGCAACAGCCUCAGAAACUGCUUCCUGUUCCGGCUCUUUGUCCUGCUCAGAUCUUAUUUUGCGUGUUGGCUUGGCAGUCCCUGAAACAUUGACAAGCUCAGCUUCCAAUUCUUUUUUCAUAGUAUCACGCAUUUUCUCAAACAAUAUAGAUUUCACAGGAUCUUUUCCAAUCCAGCGGCAGAGCUCCAGUGUCAGCCCCUUAGAUGAAGCACGAACAUUCUGAUCUUGAUGGUCAAAUAGUUCAGGCAGCAUCUUCAAGAUUCUUUUUGGUGGAACAAUCUUUGUCCCAAAUUCACUCAA